GGGCCCGCACAAGCAGUGGAGCAUGUGGUUUAAUUCGAUGCAACGCGAGGAACCUUACCAGGGCUUAAAUGCAGAAUGACAGAUUGGGAAACCAGUCCUUCUUCGGACAUUUUGCAAGGUGCUGCAUGGUUGUCGUCAGCUCGUGCUGUGAAGUGUCGGGUUAAGUCCCAUAACGAGCGCAACCCCUAUUUCUAGUUGCCAGCGGUUCGGCCGGGGACUCUAGAGAAACUGCCAGCGUAAGCUGUGAGGAAGGUGGGGAUGACGUCAAAUCAUCACGGCCCUUACAUCCUGGGCCACACACGUGCUACAAUGGUGGGGACAACAGGUUGCCAACCCGCGAGGGUGAGCCAAUCCCAAAACCCCAUCUCAGUUCGGAUCGGAGUCUGCAACUCGACUCCGUGAAGUUGGAAUC
rnacentral:rRNA from 1 species